AAAGUCGUAACAAGGUUUCCGUAGGUGAACCUGCGGAAGGAUCAUUCUUGAUAAUGUAGCUUAGCUAUCAUUACUUAUGUGAACUGUUAUUGCCAUUUGGCGAUCGAAAGGUCGCCAUUGGCCCCACUUAUUAUUUACCCUUAAUAACUUAAUGUACAAGUAAUCAUAAAUUUUUAUGACAACUUUUAGCAAUGGAUCUCUAGGCUCUC
rnacentral:misc_RNA from 1 species